AGCAGCCGCGGUAAUACGAAGGUCCCGAGCGUUGUUCGGAAUCACUGGGCGUAAAGGGAGCGUAGGCGGCGUGGUAAGUCAGAUGUGAAAUCCCGGGGCUCAACCCCGGAACUGCAUCCGAUACUGCCGUGCUAGAGGAUUGGAGAGGUAGCUGGAAUUCUUGGUGUAGCAGUGAAAUGCGUGGAUAUCAAGAGGAACACUCGUGGCGAAAGCGAGCUACUGGACAACUCCUGACGCUGAGGCUCGAAGGCCAGGGUAGCGAAAGGGAUUAGAUACCCCUGUAGUCCUGGCAGUAAACGGUGCACGCUUGGUGUGAGGGGAAUCGACCCCCCUUGUGCCGGAGCAAACGCGUUAAGCGUGCCGCCUGGGAAGUACGGUCGCAAGACU
rnacentral:rRNA from 1 species